rnacentral:rRNA from 1 species
GGGUUGUGAGGUUAAGCGACUAAGCGUACACGGUGGAUGCCCUGGCAGUCAGAGGCGAUGAAGGACGUGCUAAUCUGCGAUAAGCGUCGGUGAGGUGAUAUGAACCGUUAUAACCGGCGAUUUCCGAAUGGGGAAACCCAGUGUGUUUCGACACACUAUCAUUAACUGAAUCCAUAGGUUAAUGAGGCGAACCGGGGGAACUGAAACAUCUAAGUACCCCGAGGAAAAGAAAUCAACCGAGAUUCCCCCAGUAGCGGCGAGCGAACGGGGAGCAGCCCAGAGCCUGAAUCAGUGUGUGUGUUAGUGGAAGCGUCUGGAAAGGCGCGCGAUACAGGGUGACAGCCCCGUACACAAAAAUGCACAUGCUGUGAGCUCGAUGAGUAGGGCGGGACACGUGGUAUCCUGUCUGAAUAUGGGGGGACCAUCCUCCAAGGCUAAAUACUCCUGACUGACCGAUAGUGAACCAGUACCGUGAGGGAAAGGCGAAAAGAACCCCGGCGAGGGGAGUGAAAAAGAACCUGAAACCGUGUACGU